rnacentral:rRNA from 1 species
GAACUAACAAGGAUUCCCCUAGUAACUGCGAGUGAAGCGGGAAAAGCUCAAAUUUAAAAUCUGGCAGUCUUUGGCUGUCCGAGUUGUAAUCUAGAGAAGUGUUGCCCGCGCUGGACCGUGUACAAGUCUCCUGGAAUGGAGCGUCAUAGAGGGUGAGAAUCCCGUCUCUGACACGGACUACCAGGGCUUUGUGGUAUGCUCUCAAAGAGUCGAGUUGUUUGGGAAUGCAGCUCAAAAUGGGUGGUAAAUUCCAUCUAAAGCUAAAUAUUGGCGAGAGACCGAUAGCGAACAAGUACCGUGAGGGAAAGAUGAAAAGAACUUUGGAAAGAGAGUUAAACAGUACGUGAAAUUGCUGAAAGGGAAACGCUUGAAGUCAGUCACGUUGGCCAGGGAUCAGCCUCACUUUUGUGUGGUGUACUUUCUGGUUGAMGGGUCAGCAUCAAUUUUGACCGUUGGAAAAAGGCUUAGGGAAUGUGGCAGCUUCGGCUGUGUUAUAGCCCUUUGUCACAUACAACGGUUGGGAUUGAGGAACUCAGCACGCCGCAAGGCCGGGUUUCGACCACGUUCGUGCUUAGGAUGCUGGCAUAAUGGCUUUAAGCGACCCGUCUUGAAACACGGACCAAGGAGUCUAACAUGCCUGCGAGUGUUUGGGUGGAAAACCCGAGCGCGUAAUGAAAGUGAAAGUUGAGAUCCCUGUCGUGGGGAGCAUCGACGCCCGGACCAGAACUUUUGGGACGGAUCCGCGGUAGAGCAUGUAUGUUGGGACCCGAAAGAUGGUGAACUAUGCCUGAAUAGGGUGAAGCCAGAGGAAACUCUGGUGGAGGCUCGUAGCGAUUCUGACGUGCAAAUCGAUCGUCAAAUUUGGGUAUAGGGGCGAAAGACUAAUCGAACCAUCUAGUAGCUGGUUCUGUGA